rnacentral:rRNA from 1 species
UAGGGAAUCUUCGGCAAUGGACGAAAGUCUGACCGAGCAACGCCGCGUGAGUGAAGAAGGUUUUCGGAUCGUAAAACUCUGUUGUUAGAGAAGAACAAGGACGUUAGUAACUGAACGUCCCCUGACGGUAUCUAACCAGAAAGCCACGGCUAACUACGUGCCAGCAGCCGCGGUAAUACGUAGGUGGCAAGCGUUGUCCGGAUUUAUUGGGCGUAAAGAGAGCGCAGGCGGUUUCUUAAGUCUGAUGUGAAAGCCCCCGGCUCAACCGGGGAGGGUCAUUGGAAACUGGGAGACUUGAGUGCAGAAGAGGAGAGUGGAAUUCCAUGUGUAGCGGUGAAAUGCGUAGAUAUAUGGAGGAACACCAGUGGCGAAGGCGGCUCUCUGGUCUGUAACUGACGCUGAGGCUCGAAAGCGUGGGGAGCAAACAGG